AUUGAACGCUGGCGGCAGGCCUAACACAUGCAAGUCGAGCGAGCGGCGGACUGGUGAGUAAUGUCUGGGAAACUGCCUGACGGAGGGGGAUAACUACUGGCAACGGUAGCUAAUACCGCAUACCAUCAGAUGUGCCCUGAUGGGAUUAGCUAGUAGGUGGGGUAACGGCUCACCUAGGCAGCGAUCCCUAGCUGGUCUGAGAGGAUGACCAGCCACACGGGGACUGAGAAACGGUCCAGACUCCUACGCGAGGCAGAAGUGGGGAAUAUUGCACAAUAGGCGCAAGCCUGAUGCAGACAUGGCGCGUGUAUGAAGAAGGCCUUCGGGUUGUAAAGUACUUUAAGCGGGGAGGGGUUACCCGCAGAAGAAGCAAGGGCUAACUCCGGGCCAGCAGCCGCGGUAAUAC
rnacentral:rRNA from 1 species